UGCGAAGGGGACUAGCGUUGUUCGGAAUCACUGGGCGUAAAGCGCACGUAGGCGGAUGUGUCAGUCAGGGGUGAAAUCCCGGGGCUCAACCUCGGAACUGCCUUUGAUACAGCACGUCUCGAGUCCGGAAGAGGUGGGUGGAAUUCCUAGUGUAGAGGUGAAAUUCGUAGAUAUUAGGAAGAACACCGGUGGCGAAGGCGGCCCACUGGUCCGGUACUGACGCUGAGGUGCGAAAGCGUGGGGAGCAAACAGG
rnacentral:rRNA from 1 species